AUUGAAGUGUCCCUUUAUAAAAGUCUGGAUUUUUUUUUUUUUUUAAACAGAGUUUCACUCUUGUUGCCCGGGCUGGAGUGCAAUGGCGCGAUCUUGGCUCAUUGCAACCUCCGCCUCCCGGUUCAAGUGAUUCUCCUGCCUCAGUCUCCCAUGGUUUUGUUUUUAUUUGACAUCCUCCAUCUCUGGUUUGCAAGUCUGGGCAUGCUGCCUGAUGGGCAGGUACCACCGUCCACCACCAGGCUUUGCUUUCUUUACUCUUGAAUAAGGCGGGGACACAGGUUCCAUUGUGUAAUGGUUGGCACUCUGGACUCUGAGUCCAGAGAUGGGGAUACAGGCAUUCAUUUCUAGCUCAUGGGUUUCUGGUGCAAGGGUUUCAUGAAGCCAUCACAAUUGAAAACAGAGGAAAGCGACAGCCCUGUCCUGGAAGCUGUUCAUUUGUUCCACUGUCUGAUUUCCAUUGGCCCCACCCCGACUUCUUCUGGGCUCGAGGCUCUUGGGAGAAAGCUUGUCCUUCUGCCCAGUGGGGCAGAGCGCAGGCUUCUCCUCCCACUGAUCUCCUCAAGGACAGCUCAUCUCUGGAGGAAGUGACUCCUCCCAGGCAGGUGGAGGUCAUUUCCCUCCUAAGUCAUUUUAGCAACAAAUGGGCAGAUCAGACCUAUCAUUCCAGUCAACUCAGAAGCUUUGCACAGCCUGGGAGCAGAAGAGCCUCCUGGCUCACCUGAAGUUCCUCUUCCCCAGCUAGGCAACACCCUCUUUGGUGCAGCCCUGGCCACUCCCCUUGCCAGCCUUCUAGGGAUCGCUGCGCACAUAGAGCUCUGCUUACAAAGGGCUUUAGGCUGUCCUAUGCCACCCAAAUUUAAUUGCAAACACAUACAAUGACUACUUUCCCCAACCAUUUGGACAAAGUCUAGUUUUUAAACCUGAGUUAAUGUUGCUUUUUCUACUUCCCAAAGCCUCUCACACUAUGCUAUCUCACUGACCCAGCAAAGUCUUCUCUUUCUCUGACCACACAAUCCUUUUCACGGGAACACAAGGACAUAGACAAACACUUCAUGGUGGAAAACCUUCCUGGAGUGAGUCAGCCAGCCCUGAGGAUGGUGGUCCGUGAUUUGAAUCCAAAGGAGAUCACAGAGAAUAUGAAUUCCACAGGGCUGCAAAAAACGGUUUCAUUUGAAAAGAGAUUUCUUUCUCUUCUGAAGCAGCUGCAGGGUUUAUUCUUUCCUCAUAGCUGUAGCAUGAGUAUUGGACAGGCCUGUUAGAUGCCACUCAGGAGGGAGGGGGCUUCUGGAGGGAUUCCAAGAGCUGAAGAGGCAUGGAAAGGCUUCUCCCUGGUGUUGCAAAAGAUGGGACGUGCUGACAGUAGAAGGAGAGAGGGAAACUCCGGAAAGAAAUCCAGCAGCCCAGACAGUUUUCUAAGCCCCUUCUCUUUCCCCAGUCUGUUGGAGCUUAGGGUAUUACAUCCCACCCUUGCCAGGAGGCAAGAGCCGAAGCUGCUGCCCCUCACCCACCAGUGCUAUCUCCCAGAGAGGUUUUCAUAGCUGGGGUCCCCUAGUAGUAAUUUUACUAAUAAUACAUGUAGUCUUAUAAGUGUGGGGUCUGGCAAUUUUCAAAAUACUAACUAUCCAUUCUCCCAUCUCUUAAAAUGGGGAAAUAAUACCUACUUUGCAUAGUUCACACGGUUGUUAUAAGCAUCAAAUCACAGUGUAUGUGAAAUUAUUUGGGGAACUAUAAAACCUUAGAUGCUAUCAUUGUUAUCAUCAGCAGCAAUGGCCCCUUUCUUCUACAGGCACAUGAGUACUUGACAUGUGGCAGCAAAUCCUGUUUUCACGCUUCCUGUUGUAGGGAACAAAUAUAGAGCAGCAUGCUUUUCUCCACUCCAUGGGAAGUGAUCACCUCAGAUGUCAGCACCACAGGGUGCUGGGAGAGGAGUUGGCCCCGUCCAUAAUUCCCAUCAGCAAGCUCCCCAAUAAAUAUGUCUCUAAGCCAGAACAGGGAGCUUACUAAGCAGAAACAGCUACAAGACAAGCCUCCAAUCCCCUGCCCCAAAUGCCAUCUACCAUCCACAUUUUAUUUUUUUCAUCCCUAAGUCCCUCCCACAUCGAAAUUCUAGAACUGCCCAGAUAUAUGCUCAAGUUCACCUGGUAAGAAAGCCAAAGUAGCACUCUGCCACUCAGUCUUCCGAGGAUGUAGUCAUGGUGGUCAGUAUGUCAUUUCCCCAACACAUCUCUGGGGCAGAAACCAGUUUCCCCUGUACAGUUCAGUGGUGGUUCUCUAUGUGCAAGAAUCACCAGUGCUUGUCUAAAUUGUGAUUUAGGUAACCAUAGGAGACAUUUGGCUCUGUCUUGCCUCUUUGUUUUGUUACUUUGCCCCGUUCCAUUUCUUUUCUCAGCCAGUCCAAGGAUAGGCUUGUUAACAGGGAGUGAUAUUGAAAGUAUUCCAAACCACUGUAGUGCCGACACUGGCUUGCUGAAAGGGAAGUUGGUGUUGGCCGAGGGGCAGGAAGCCUCCCCUGAGUGAGCUAUUAAUCCUUUAGUGGAUGAACUGGGGGAGUAUGGGAGUUGCCAGGAAGGGGCUGGUGGGCCAGGGUGCUGGAACAGGGAGCGGCAGGAGGGGGCUGGGGGCAGCCAACUACCCAUCCUGCUGUGACAUAUGACAGUCACCCAACUCCAUCACCUACUCACGUUGGGGCUCCACAUUUCCCCUGCCUCGGUUACAUUUGUUUAAUGACAGUCUAGAUGUGUUUCUGUGUUUUCCCCUCAAUUCAGUGUUGUAUUUCUCCUGGGAUCAGCAACUAUUUUUUUGUUGAUAUCCUUGACCACCUCCCUCCUUCCAGGCACAGGGCUGAGCCCAGUGACAUCUCAUUAUUGCUGUGGCCCACCUUAUUGCAGGGCCGACAUUUCAGAUACCCUUCUCAUUUCCCUUCCCUCAGCUAUGGCUCCCUUUGGUUUUCCAUCCUUGUGUCACACGGACCGUGACUCAGUGGCAAACUAAGACCUCAACU
rnacentral:lncRNA from 10 species